GACGAACGCUGGCGGCGUGCUUAACACAUGCAAGUCUACGAGAACGAGGUAGCAAUAUCUUUAGUAAAGUGGCGUACGGGUGCGUAACACGUAAGUAAUCUACCUUUGGGUUCGGAAUAACUUCGGGAAAUCGGAGCUAAUACCGGAUAAUGCAGCGGCACCGCAUGGUGAUGUUGUUAAAGUUUGCGUAACGCCUAAAAGAUGAGCUUGCGUCUGAUUUAGUUUGUUGGUGAGGUAACGGCUCACCAAGGCUGCGAUCAGUAGCUGGUCUGAGAGGAUGAUCAGCCACACUGGAACUGAGACACGGUCCAGACUCCUACGGGAGGCAGCAGUGAGGAAUAUUGGGCAAUGCCCGCGAAGGGUGACCCAGCAACGCCGCGUGGAGGAUGAAGGUCGUAAGAUUGUAAACUCCUGUUAGAGGGGAAGAAUAACUAAGUUUGGAGCUUAGUAUGACUGUACCCUCAGAGAAAGCCCCGGCUAACUACGUGCCAGCAGGCCGAC
rnacentral:rRNA from 1 species